rnacentral:rRNA from 1 species
ACUGUUAACCUUGAGUAUGGUAGAGGCAAGUGGAAUUUCUAGUGUAGCGGUUAAAUGCGUAGAUAUUAGAAGGAACAUCAGUGGCGAAGGCGACUUGCUGGGCCAACACUGACGCUGAGGCACGAAAGCGUGGGGAGCAAAUAGGAUUAGAUACCCUAGUAGUCCACGCCGUAAACGAUGGAUACUAAGUGUCGGGCAACCGGUGCUGAAGUAAACACAUUAAGUAUCCCACCUGAGUAGUACGGUCGCAAGGCUGAAACUCAAAGGAAUUGACGGGCACCCGCACAAGCGGUGGAGCAUGCUGUUUAAUUCGAAGCUACGCGAAGAACCUUACCUGGGCUUGACAUCCCUUUGACCGGACCUAGAAAUAGGACCUUUCUUCUUCGGAAGACAAAGGAGACAGGUGGUACAUGGUUGUCGUCAGCUCGUGUCGUGAGAUGUUCGGUUAAGUCCGAUAACGAGCGCAACCCUUGUCCUUAAUUGCUAACAGUAAGAUGAGAACCUUAAGGAGACUGCCGGUGAUAAACCGGAGGAAGAUGGGGAUGACGUCAAAUCAUCAUGCCCCUUACGUCCAGGGCUACAGGCGUGCUAUAAUGGCCGGUAUAAAAAGAAGCAAAACUGUGAAGUGGAGCAAAUCUCGAAAGCCGGUCUCAGUACGGAUUGGAGUCUGCAACUCGACUCCAUGAAGCCAGAAUCGCUAGUAAUCCCGAAUCAGAAUGUCGGGGUGAAUACGUUCCCGGGUGUUGUACACACCGCCCGUCACGCCAUGGGAGUCAAUAAUACCCGAAGCUGGUAGCCUAACCGAGCAAUCGGAGGGGGCCAUCGAAGGUAGGAUUGGUGACUGGGGUGAAGUCGUAACAAAGGUAGCCGUAAGCC